rnacentral:misc_RNA from 1 species
CAUAACGAAACUCUGGUUCCCUGACUCCAUGGUUGAGGCCUGAGAUUGGGCCUACAGUAGUACAGUACGUAAGUUGAUUUUUACCUGACCUGGGAGUGGGUGUUUAGAAAGAGUUCAGGAGUCCGUGUAUGUCGUUUAUGCGACGCAUAUUCUCUCGUGUUACCAGCGCCAGAAUGUCGACAACAACAGCACCCUACAGUCUGGAGCCAUUAAAAUUGGGAGCUGUGGCCAGAGGCUUAAAUCUGAAGGACAACGUUUCUCCGGAGGUUAUAGCGCAGAUCAAGCAAGAUGUCACAAAGCACCACAUACUUAUCUUUAAAGAUCAGGGUGUAAUAAGUGGGGAUAGGCAUGUAGAAAUCAGCCAGUGGUUUGGAGAGCUAGAAAGCACCUUCUACAAGCAUCCAAAGUCUCCGCAUCCCGAUGUGUUUCGGGUGUCAAACGAUAAAACAGAAGGCUGCACGGGAGUUGGGAGGACGGGCUGGCACAUCGACGGCAGUUUUCAGCCCGCUCCAUUCGCAUACGCUCUCUAUCACAUGGUCUCGGUUCCCCAGAAUGGAGGAAACACGGAGUAUGUAGAUCUGCAUGCAUUGGUUAAGAGCCUCGGCAAAGAUCAGAGAAGGAGGUGGGAUCAAUUAUGGAUGGUCAGCGAUAGGCGUUCCACGAGCCCUCGUCCUCUCAUCUUCUCUCACCCGAUCACAAAACAAAAGACUCUGUGCUUUCACCUGGGCAUGACAGAGGCAUUCAUAUGGGACAAGGGAACGCAGCAGGAGCGAUACACCAACCUCAAAGAGACGGGAGAGAUACUCGAUGAGAUAUAUCGUGAGAUUGUGAAAAACGAUGGAGAGUUGAUCUACUCACACAAGUGGGAGGUUGGAGAUUUUAUCAUGUCCGACAACUUGUCUGUUGGCCAUGAGGCAAGUCCGUCUACACAGCAUCAUAGGAACAGCAUCGGGCUAAGAGUGCUUCAUCGCACAACUGUAAAAGGCAUUCACUCACCAACCAAGGAGUACGACCCAGAUACAGAGGAUUAGGUGUAGAUCCAGCGUCUAUCUAUGAUGCAGGUCAUAUGUCAUGUCAAUGUGAUGACAUGUCACAGAUCAAUGUCAUGACAUAUCACAGAUCACAGAUCAAUGUCAUGACAGAUCACAGAUCAAUGUCAUGACAGAUCACAGAUCAAUGUCAUGACAGAUCACAGAUCAAUGUCAUGACACAUCACAGAUCACAGAGUCAAUGUUGCGCAUAACAGACAAUACAGUGUGAUUUUUUAUGCUUGUGGUCUUGCCAAUAUUUUGCGAUGUUUACCUGCUGUUAUGAAUUACAGAAUGUGAUUAAGUUUUACUACAUUUUAUAACCAACUUGUAUCAAGUAUAAAUUUUAUACGAUUUGAUUAUGAUUUCCGAUGAUCAUGACCUAUAUGUAACAAGAUUGGGGUUAUUUAACUAUGUUAUACGACAUGUGAUACUAGUGAUAUGUAAAGUAUAUAUUAACGCUGUUAAGUUUUAAUGUGCUGUCAUUUUGUUUAAUGACAUUUCACAGUAGCAAUCUGUAGAUAAGAUUUCUCAAGACAGUUGAUAGAUGGUGGAAAAUAUAUUGUAAGCAAGUUAGACAUUUAAGCUGUGCAGAUAUUAGACAUGUUUAAGUAUAACACUCCUGCUUUGCAAGCAUUUCAACUACAAUCUGAAUAACGUAAAUGUGCAGCUGUUCUGUUUUACAUGCUCGUGUUGUGAUGUGUGUGGCAACUACCUAAAAAAGCUAAAAGUAAAAUAUACCAGAAAUAUGAUGUUUGUACUUCUACGCUUUAAGCGAACAGUAAAAUGUAAUGUAAAUGUAGUACCAACUAUAAAAAAUCCGACUAUCAUUAAAACUCCCGACUAAAACUUUA